rnacentral:rRNA from 1 species
AGCAGCCGCGAUAAUUCCAGCUCCAAUAGCGUAUAUUAAAGUUGUUGCAGUUAAAAAGCUUGUAGUUGAAUUUCGGGAUCAAUUAAUCGGUCAUACCUAUGGUACGUACUGAUUUUAUUGGUUUCUCCCUUCUGACGAACCAUGAUGUCAUUAAUUUGGUGUCGUGGAGAAUCAGGACUGUUACUUUGAAAAAAUUAGAGUGUUUAAAGCUGAAUACAUUAGCAUGGAAUAAUGAAAUAGGGCGUUUGAUCCUAUUUUGUUGGUUUCUAGGAUCGACGUAAUGAUUAAUAGGGAUAGUUGGGGGCAUUAGUAUUCAAUUGUCAGAGGUGAAAUUCUUGGAUUUAUUGAAGACUAACUACAGCGAAAGCAUUUGCCAAGGAUGUUUUCAUUAAUCAAGAAUGAAAGUUAGGGGAUCGAAGACGAUCAGAUACCGUCGUAGUCUUAACCAUAAACUAUGCCGACUAGGGAUCAGAUGAUGUUAAUUUUUAAUGACUCAUUCGGCGCCUUACGGGAAAA